ACAUCGUGGAGACCAAAACUGGAUGCAAUAUUCCAAGUGUGGCCUUACCAAGGCAUUAUAAAGUGGCACUAACACUUCACGUGAUCUUGAUUUUAUCCCUCUGUUUAUGCAGCCCAGAACUGUGUUGGCUUUUUUAGAAGCUACUGCACACUGCUGGCUCAUAUCUAAAUGGUUAUCCACUAGGACUCCAAGAUCCCUCUCACAGAUAGCGCCCAAUGUUCAAGUCUGUCAAGAUCCUUCUGUAAUUUGAGCCUAUCUUCUGGAGUGUUGGCUAUUCCUGCCAGCUUGGUGUCAUCUGCAAAUUUGAUGAGUUCCCCAUCUGCCUGCCUACAAUCCAUCUCAUCGAGAAUCUCUUCAAAAGACAGUGUGCUUUAUGGAUCUGCCCAGUGAAUUUACAGCACAAGAGAAAACAAAAGAGGAAGCUGAAGAAAAACAAAGGCAAAAGUUAACAGGGAAGAAAUACGUGAGGAAGAGAUGACUUAUGUCAUUUCAGAUGCUAUUUACCUGCAAUUCCCAGCAGCAGCAACCAGCCUGACUGAAGGUGAGGUCCCGUAAUCCCUCUCAAGCAUGCGAUCUUGAUUCUGACAACUGGUUGCUGCUGACCUUUUUGAAAAGAAGUGAGGAAAAGAGAGAGUUUGGGAGAAAGAAAAAUGGAAUGAAGUCAUCCCCUUGACCUGGAGGGCAAAAACUACAAGUAUUUAAAAUAUCAUUGUCCAACCUCUUGGCUUGCCUGGGCUGCACUGAGUGAAGAAGAAUUAUCUUGGGCCGCAUAUAAAAUAUUUAAUAAAGUUAAUGUAUAUAAAUAAAACAACUUUUUAUUUUUUAAU